AGAACGAACGCUGGCGGCAGGCUUAACACAUGCAAGUCGAACGGUUGUAGCAAUACAGCAGUGGCAGACGGGUGAGUAACACGUGGGAACCUUCCUAGGGGUACGGAGCAACUCAGGGAAACUUGAGCUAAUACCGUAUACGUCCGUGAGGAGAAAGUUUUAACGCCCCUAGACGGGCCCGCGUAGGAUUAGGUAGUUGGUGAGGUAACGGCUCACCAAGCCUACGAUCCUUAGCUGAUCUGAGAGGAUGAUCAGCCACACUGGGACUGAGACACGGCCCAGACUCCUACGGGAGGCAGCAGUGGGGAAUCUUGGACAAUGGGCGCAAGCCUGAUCCAGCCAUGCCGCGUGAGUGAAGAAGGCCUUCGGGUUGUAAAGCUCUUUUACCAGGGACGAUAAUGACGGUACCUGGAGAAUAAGCCCCGGACAACUUCGUGCCAGCAGCCGC
rnacentral:rRNA from 1 species